CAGUCGCCGCGGUAAUACGUAGAGUGCGAGCGUUAAUCGGAAUUACUGGGCGUAAAGCGUGCGCAGGCGGUUGUGUAAGACAGGUGUGAAAUCCCCGGGCUUAACCUGGGAACUGCGCUUGUGACUGCACAGCUAGAGUAUGGCAGAGGGGGGUGGAAUUCCACGUGUAGCAGUGAAAUGCGUAGAGAUGUGGAGGAACACCGAUGGCGAAGGCAGCCCCCUGGGCCAAUACUGACGCUCAUGCACGAAAGCGUGGGGAGCAAACAGGAUUAGAUACCCCUGUAGUCCCUGUCUCUUAUAA
rnacentral:rRNA from 1 species